CAAAUAAAAGAACUCCAUCCCAAACUAAUUAAAUACAGCCCAUAUGAAGGAAAAUAAGGGCAGCUCAUACUACUUAAAAUAGAGGCCCAAAAGCUCAUCCUCAAUCGGGCCCAGCUUAACUCCUAAUUGCAGCCCAUCAUAACAUACUCUCAGCCCAAACACCAGCUUGCCCAAACACCAAAUUAAUUCACGCUGAACUCCUUUUCUUCAAGGUUUCAAGCAGAGAACCAAGAUCGGCGGUGUACUCCAGCCAGCCGUUGUCGCCUCCACGCCGAACCGCCGCCGCUCUGAAAUUCCGGUGGGGCCUCCCCUCCGACUCACUCUCCCCCUCACAAUCUCUUCCUCUUAAUUCCUCAAUCCAGACUACCCUUUUCUUCUAAAUUUCGUGCCCUAGCUCUUCUUCCUCAGAAAUCAGCUGCCGCCGUCACUGAAGAAUCGGCGAACAAUCGCCGCUGCGUGUCGGAACUCGUCCGAAAAUCACCGCGGCGUACAGCUCCUCCGUUGUGUUGUCACGCCCUCGACCCUGGCCUCGAAUGCUGCCGCUCUGUCUCGCUAGCACCUUUGCCGCCGCCCUAAAAUCGGCGAGGUCGCCGUGCUCCCCUCCCUGUGUUCGUCCGACGGGUAGCAAGCCAGAGGCUGCCACCGCCAAGCGGGCAGUCGCCCUCCUCCUUGUUUAAUGGAACAGGGGAAUCAAGAAUGGACUGGUGGAAAACUUAAGCCAAUGCUUACCUGUUCAAAGUUUGGCAGCAGUAAUUGAAGUCUCUCAUUCCUUUGGUUGUUGAUGAACUAAGGAAUGAAUGAAAGGGCUGAUAGCCUUAAAGAAUCGAAUAUGGUGAAGGUGGUGGGUAGCUGAGGGGAUGGGAUGUCAUAGGGUGGUUGAUUGACUCUCUAGGUGUACCUUGGGUAUGGCCUUGAAGCUGCCCCAGCUGCAGAGAAGGGAUGGGAGCUGCUGUUGCAGCUGCCCUUGUACAGGACGUCCCUUGCGCCCUUUUCUUCCUCUCUGCCCUUUUUUCUCAUUUUUGUUGCUGCGUGUGCAAGCUAGAUAGUAGGAGUAAAGUUGUAUUGUAACUAGGAACGAAUCCUUAUGUCUUGUAUU